AUUCCAGCUCCAAUAGCGUAUAUUAAAGUUGUUGCAGUUAAAAAGCUCGUAGUUGGAUUUGUGGCAGUGCUCGAGUGCCUUUUUUGGACGCUUUGAGCACAGCCAUCCUUGGGAGGAAUUCGUGUGGCAUUAGGUUGUUGCAUGGGGGAUACUCAACAUUUACUGUGAAAAAAUCAGCGCGUUCAAAGCAAGCUUAUGCUCUUGAAUGUAUUAGCAUGGAAUAAUAAGAUAGGACUUUAGUACUAUUUUGUUGGUUUGCGUAUUAAGGUAAUGAUUAAUAGGGAUAGUUGGGGGUAUUCGUAUUCCAUUGUCAGAGGUGAAAUUCUUGGAUUUUUGGAAGACGAACUACUGCGAAAGCAUUUACCAAGGAUGUUUUC
rnacentral:rRNA from 1 species